ACCACCUGAUCCCAUGCCGAACUCAGCAGUGAAACCGCUCAGCGCCGAUGGUAGUGUGGGGUCUCCCCAUGUGAGAGUAGGUCAUCGUCAGGC
rnacentral:rRNA from 1 species